UACUGUGGUAUUGCAGGAUCACAGGUGGUUAAAGCAGAGGCUCAGCCCCAGGACGCCACCUGUCUUCCUCCUUGUAGGGACCCUGUUUUCCCUCCCUCCGUGAUCCUUGUUACCAUUUGUUGUUAUAUGUUGUUACAAGUGUAUCAUUAUUGUGUUGUAUAAUCCUACCUCAUCCCCCCCCACCAACACACACACACAUACACACACAAACACACAAAAUUUUUAUUCUAGGAGCUCAGGAGCAAUAUUAAUUUCCACUGCACACAUCAGGCAAGCAUAAUGCUGGGAACAGGAGGUGUUCCAUAAAUGUUGCAUGAAUGAAUGAAUGAAUGAAAACUCGGCUGGACCAUGGCUUGUAGCAAUGGCUUGUGCACUUCACUCCAGAUUUUUGACUUGAUCCUUUGGGCAGUGCAGUUGGAGGAGGGUGAUCUGAUCAUAUGGAUGGUCAGAAAGUCUGGUGUGAAGAUGAGUAGAGGACAGCCUCUGUGUGUGUGCACCUGCAUGUGCAUAGGGGCAGCAGGCUGCACAGUGGGAAUGGGAAGGAGGUGAGGGACCUUGUCACUGCAAACAGAGAGCCAAGAGACUCAGACCGUGUGUGGCCCGGACAGGUGCCAAGAGGAGGGAGAUUGUUCUGGGAGCAUGGUUCCUCAUGCCCUCCUCUCUCCCUCUUGAGUCUUUGUGGGGGGCUCCCCUAACGGGUAUCCCUGCAUGCUCAGGUGGUGGUGGCUGCUGCUUGUUGAUUACAGUUUGAAAAGCUGUACUUGGUCCCAAGCUGCCACACACCACUGAAAUUCAGUGUUCUCUAAUGGGGUUUCUGUUAGAAUGUUGGAAAGAAGAAAGCCUUUUAAUUAGAUUUGUAGUAAUUGAGCUCCCAAACCACAGAAGCCUUUCUCUCAGCAGAUGAAGACACGAAUGCAAUUAAAAGAAGGAAAGGCACCUAAAUGGAACCCUUGCUAAUUUUAAGUCCAUUAAAAACAACAACUCCUUAAUAAGUUGAGGCAACAGAUACACGUUCUGAAGAGUUUUAACAGUGCUUCCCAAUAAUAUUGGAGCUUGAACUGGAACUGGAGUGCUCCAGCCACUUAAAUGGAUAGCUCUGUUGGGGAUCAUUUGCUUAGUGCAGAGUACAGAGACAUGUUAGCUCUACAGCUUUUCCCACCAAAAACUCCUGGCACAUUUUAUUAGGAAAAUGGGAUAUAUUUUUUUCCUGUAACUGAAUAAAUGUUCAGCGUCUUGUGGACAUUGCCCCUGGCCUGGGGUCCCCUGAGACAUCAUCCCAUGUCCCUCCCCAGGCAGCCCUCUCCUCUCUGUGGGAUUUGCCCCACCUGGCCCAUCUCACCCCAGAGGUGCCCAACAUGUGAGCAACUGGGCUGGGGCACUGAUGUCCCUGUCAACUGCUUACAUGCUCAACGCAUUUUCGUUUUAAUGAGAGGCAGCAUUCGUUUUUCAUUUACAUCCCUGCCCACUGACACGCCCCAGCAGAUGCCACGUUCUUUCUGCCUUUGGGUCUUUUUGUUUUGAAACUUCCCAUCGGUGAACCAGGCCAAGUAGAUUCUAUUGCGGGAGCUUGAGGUUUCAGCUUCUGGGAACAUCUUCACAGGGGCAUUAAUUAAUAUUUUCCCUGGAGAGGGUGUCAAUUGCUAAUUCACAGAGUCCUUUAGGUUGGAGUUGAUUAUUUCAUGCUGAAUCACAACAUUCUCAGUAUAACUAUUGUACAGAAUUCACUCAUUUGCCUCCUUUCACUGGGCUUGGUCAGCCGUACUAAAACGCAAGUUGCCUCCCAUUUGGAAAGGCCAGUCUAGACGGGUCUCUUCUCUGUACGUCCUGUGCUGGAGCAAAGUCACAGCUGGUACACUAUCCAAGCUCCCUGGUUAGUGCAUAGGCUUAGCUGGAGGCAGAACUCAGGGAGGUGUUUUGGAAAUGUAGGAAAAUAGGCUCUGGAGUCAGAAAGAUCCAAGUUUGAAUGGCUGCUUCUAAAGUCACCUCAUCUUUCUCACCUUUAGUUUAUCACCUGGGUAGGCUUUACCUUCAGGUGUAUUUCAAGAGCCUGAUGUGCCUCCUAGAAGUUAGAGGAUAAGAGAAAAGCCCAGAUCUGCAGGGAGAAGGCAGAGUCACGGCCCUCAUGGCACCACUCACACAGGGUGCAGCAGCUCCACACAGGGCCAUGGCCCCUUUCCUGGGGGAGGGAGGCAUAACAUACUUGUAUUUGUUUAAAAGCGUAUAUAUUUUGGAAACAAACCUGACUUUAAAAACUUGUAUUUUCACCUACUUUUAUGUUUUUUUAAGCAUAUGAAUUAUUUAAAAAUACAAAGAUAAAUAGCUAAAUCAUUAGCAGGCAUCAUUUCUGGAUGGUAAGGUUGCAGAGUUUUAAUUUUCUUCUUUAUACUUUUCCAUCUUUUUUAAGUGCUGUAUAAUAAAUUUGUCUUACUUUGGAAUAAAUAGAAAAGCUUAACUCUAGGGAAAUGCUGCUUGCAUAUAUUGGAAGUGCUUGGUGCAUUCUAAUUUCCACACACAACAACGAUCUCGACAGUCAGAUCCCCAUGUGAAUAAUUGUCUCAUUCUUUCUUUUGUAAACCAUAUUAUUUAUGCUGCUGCUUUUUUUUUUUUUUUUGAAGGAUGAGAAGAACCAAGUUUUAACCACCAACAUUUGGCUGCAAAUGGUAAGUUAAGAGAAUGACAGUCUCUCCCAUGGGCUGCAAGAUCUUGCACCCAAGAUUCUUGUCCUGAUACCUGAGAUGCUUGCUUCUGAGAGGUCCUGUUUAGGAAAAAAAACAAAAAAACAAAAAAACAAAAAAAAGGCCAUGGCUGUCACACCAACUCCACACCUGCCAACAAUGAAUGCUGGCUGUAUGACACUACAGUCUGCAGUGCUCAACACAUGCACAAGAUCAACACAUGGGACCAGGUAAUGUGGGGACACCUCAGAAGCACUUCAGGCAAGACAAGAAGAUACAGGGCUGUGUGUAGAUGUCCACAACCUGCACCACAGCCAGUCCCCAGGACUCAGAAGCUCCAUCCCUGCCCUCUGUGGCCUCCGGAGCCGCAUGUUUGAAUCAGGUGGAGUGUUCCGAAACCAGAGGCCCUCGUACUUUGUGCUCUAGCAAUGCUUAUAAGAAUCUUGAAGUGCUACCUAUCAUUUGUAGAUUUUUAACUUGACAUCUGCAAUACUAAUCUAAAUUUGAUUAAUUGCAAAUGAUGCCACUUAACAUCCAGUUGUAAAUAUUAACACUGAAAAAUGAAACAGUCAGUCUCUAUUUUAAAUGGAAUUCAAAAUACCAUAAUAAUUUGGUGCCCAUCUCAUUCAAACACCAUAUGAACAAGCCUUUUUUUAAACUGUCAGAUAUUUAACAUAGUCCCUUUUUUCUCUUUGCACAUGCAUUUCUAUUCUAGUUUCUAUAUGGAAUUU
rnacentral:sRNA from 1 species